UGCAGAAGCCCCCUCCCCAGGAAACUCCCCUGGGGCAAAACGAAAGUGUUUUGGGCGUUUUUGUCUGCCUGGCAGGGAGCCUGUGCCUGAGUCACUGUUUCUCUUGAGCUUCCCUUUUCUUUUCUUUCCUCCCGGUGUCUGCUGAUUUUGUGUCAAACAAGGAGCAUGGGGCCAGGCCAUCUCUGAGCUGCCCGUGGGACGGGGACUUGGGCACUUGCCAGGAGCGGCUGGCCUAGGAGUGGGCGGGAGGCCCUUGGUCACCCACCCCAGGGCCUGGCUUCAGGUGCUUAGGCCGAAAAUCAGGAAUCUCUUGAAUGAAUGCAUGAAGGUGGAGCCCUUUCCCUUAAUGCGCAGGUGAAAAGGGCACCUCGGUGGAUUCUACUAAAUUUAAUAGAAGACCCAAGACGGGGUGGGGGAGACGUGCUUUGUGCUCACCUGGCUGGUUCAUGGGCAGGUGGCCUGGAGGACCCAGCCCUGGCAGCUGUGGGGUAGCUCCAGCCUGGGCCGGACAGCUUCUUUCAUCGCAGGCACCACUGCGGACAUUGCUGGGAGGAAGAGGAGGGAGAAGCGACGGGCUUCAUUAGGAACGGAAAUGCCAAGAUUAGUGAAAGAAUGAAAAGAGUCAAAACAGCCUAGAAAAGGCUUCAAUGAUCCUCAAACUGGAUGAUCGAAUCCCGAAUAAUUGGGAAUCAACAGUAAAGGCCAAAGCUUUCGAUGGAUUGGACGAGGCGCGUCCACCCUGGGGAGGGCCAUCAUUUUAUUCAGUCUACUGAUGCAAAUGCUUAUCUCUUCUGGAAACACCUUCACAGACAGACCCAGAAUAUAGUUGAACCAAAUACUGGGCACCUCAUGGCUCCAACAGGUUGACACAAAAAAUGAACCAUUGCAGAAAACGAAGAACAGUCACCAACUCCCACCCAUGCAGCUGGCUCAUUUGCUGGGCUGCCCUCCCCAGCAGGUGGCACAGGAAUCCCUGCCUUGGCAGGGAGGAGGCCUGGGGUGUGUGCAGGUACCCAUGGGAAGUUUCUUUGCCAUGGGGAAAGCCAGAGUCACCCCUUGCUUGAACACAAGAGUUGGAGGUUUCAGUGAGCUGAGAUUACGCUAUUGCACUCCAGCCUGGGCGGCAGAGUGAGACUCUGUCUCUAGAUAAAUAAAUUAAAUAAAUAAAUAAAUAUAAUUUAAUAUAAA
rnacentral:lncRNA from 1 species